UACGAAGGGUGCAAGCGUUACUCGGAAUUACUGGGCGUAAAGCGUGCGUAGGUGGUGAGUUAAGUCUGAUGUGAAAUCCCCGGGCUCAACCUGGGAAUGGCAUUGGAUACUGGCUCGCUAGAGUGCGGUAGAGGGUGGUGGAAUUCCCGGUGUAGCAGUGAAAUGCGUAGAGAUCAGGAGGAACACCGGUGGCGAAGGCGGGUCUCUGGGACGGUACUGACGCUGAGACGCGAAAGCGUGGGGAGCAAACAGG
rnacentral:rRNA from 1 species